AGAGUUUGAUCAUGGCUCAGAACGAACGCUGGCGGCAUGCCUAACACAUGCAAGUCGAACGGUGUUCCCGCUUCGGCGGGGGCAUAGUGGCGCACGGGUGAGUAACGCGUGGGAGCCUGCCCUGUGGUACGGAACAACUCCGGGAAACUGGAGCUAAUACCGUAUGUGUCCUCUGGGACAAAGAUUGAUCGCCAUGGGAUGGGCCCGCGUAGGAUUAGCUUGUUGGUGGGGUAACGGCCUACCAAGGCUCCGAUCCUUAGCUGGUCUGAGAGGAUGAUCAGCCACACUGGGACUGAGACACGGCCCAGACUCCUACGGGAGGCAGCAGUGGGGAAUAUUGGACAAUGGGCGCAAGCCUGAUCCAGCAAUGCCGCGUGAGUGAUGAAGGCCUUCGGGUUGUAAAGCUCUUUCGCACGCGACGAUGAUGACGGUAGCGUGAGAAGAAGCCCCGGCUAACUUCGUGCCAGCAGCCGCGGUAAUACGAAGGGGGCUAGCGUUGUUCGGAAUUACUGGGCGUAAAGGGCGCGUAGGCGGUCCCUCAAGUCAGGCGUGAAAGCCCCGGGCUCAACCUGGGAACUGCGCUUGAGACUGAUGGGCUAGAGUUCGGGAGAGGAUGGUGGAAUUCCCAGUGUAGAGGUGAAAUUCGUAGAUAUUGGGAAGAACACCGAUGGCGAAGGCAGCCAUCUGGACCGACACUGAC
rnacentral:rRNA from 1 species